CGCCACCUAGGUGAUGAGCUGUAAGGGCUUGGGGACCUCUGUAGUGAGAUGUGACUCCUGUGACUGUCACCUCCACCAAGCCCCCCUCCCUCACCCUCCACCCUUACUCUUGGAGGAGGAUGAAAUCUUACACUGAACAAAGCUGAGUGGAAAGACAGCAAACACCAGGACUUCGAGGGCUCAGAAUUAGCCUGGUCUUGUUAUGAGAUCCCAGAAACCAUGAUCACGACCAAGAUAAAGAACACGUCCUCACCCUCAAAAGUUUUCUCAUGCUCCUCUGCAAUCCAUCCUCAUUCCCUGUUCCAGGCAACUAUUGAUUUGCUUUCUGUUGCAAACUUCAGUUCUUAAUAACUGUUCCUUUCCAAUCGUGCAUGUGCCGACUUCAGCCAACACUCUCAAGGAUGGCCUGCCUUCAAAUAAUUCAACAGUACUUAGGCCGGGCACAGUGGCUCAAGUGGUAAUUCCAG
rnacentral:lncRNA from 1 species